rnacentral:rRNA from 1 species
CUUGGUUGAUCCUGCCAGUAGUCAUAUGCUUGUCUCAAAGAUUAAGCCAUGCAUAUGUAAGUAUGAACUAAUUCAGACUGUGAAACUGCAAAUGGCUCAUUAAAUCAGUUAUAGUUUGUUUGAUGGUACCUGCUACUCGGAUAACCGUAGUAAUUCUAGAGCUAAUACGUGCAACAAACCCCAACUUCUUGAAGGGAUGCAUUUAUUAGAUAAAAGGUCAACGCGGGCUUUGCUCGUUGCUCUGAUGAUUCACGAUAACUCGACGGAUCGCACGACUCUCGUGUCGGUGACGCAUCAUUCAAAUUUUGUCCCUAUCAACUUUCGAUUGUAGGAUAGUGGCCUAGUAUGGUGGCGACGGGUGAUGAAUAAUUAGGGUUUGAUUCCAAAGAGGGAACCUAAGAAAUAGCUACCACAUCCAAGGAAGGCAACGACGCGCAAAUUACCUAAUCCUGACACGGGGAGGUAGUGACAAUAAAUUACAAUGUCGAGCUUUAUGAGUCUGGUAAUUGGAAUGAGUACAAUCUAAAUCCCUUAACAGGGAUCCAUUGGAAGGCAAGUCUAGUGCCAGCAGUCGCGGUAAUUUCAGCUCCAAUAGUGUAUAUUUAAGUUGUUUCAGUUAAAAAGCGUAUAUUUGGACUUUGGGUUUGGCCAGCCAGUCCGCCCUUGUGUGUGUACUGGUCGUCCCGUCCCUUCUACUGGCGAUGCACUCCUGGUCUUAACUGACCGGGUCGUGCCUCAAGUUCUGUUACUUUAAAGAAAUUAGGGUGUUCAAAGCAAGCCCAAGCUCUUGAUACAUUAGCAUGGGAUAACAUCAUAGGAUUCUGGUCCUAUUGCGUUGGCCUUAGGGAUCGGAGUAAUGAUUAACAGGGACAAUCAGAGGCAUUCAUAUUUCAUAGCUAGAGGUGAAAUUCUUCGAUUUAUGAAAGACAAACUACUGCGAAAGCAUUUGCCAAUGAUGUUUUCAUUAAUAAAUAACGAAAGUUGGGGACUCGAAGAUGAUCAGAUACCGUCCUACUCUCAACCAUAAAUGAUGUCAACCAGGGAUUGGCGAAUGUUGCUUAUAGAACUCCGCCGACACCUUAUGAGAAAUCAAAGUUUUUCUGUUUCGGGUGGAGUAUUGUUGCAAGGUUGAAACUUAAAGGAAUUGACGAAAGGGCACCACCAGGAGUGGAGUCUGCGGUUUAAUUUUACUCAACACGGGGAAACUUACAAAGUCCAGACAUAGUAAAGAUUGACAGACUAAGCGCUCUUUCUUGAUUGUGUGGGUGGUGGUGCAUGGUCGUUCUUAGUUGGUGGAACAAUUUUCUAGUUAAUUUUGUUAACGAAUGAGACCUCAGCCUGCUAACUAGCUAUGUGGAGGUGACCCUCCACGGCCAGCUUCUUAGAGGGACUAUGGCCGUUUAGGCCACGGAAGUAUGAGGCAAUAACAGGUCUGUGAUUCCCUUAGAUGUUCUGGGCCACACGUGCGCUACACUGAUGUAUUCAACGAAUCUGUAGCCUUGGCCGACAGGCCCGGGUAAUCUUUGAAAAUUUUAUCGUGAUGGGGAUAGAUCAUUGCAAUUGUUGGUCUUCAACGAGGAAUUCCUAGUAAGCGCGAGUCAUCAGCUCACAUUGACUACGUUCCUGCGCUUUGCAGACACAUCCCGUCACUCCUACCGAUUGAAUGGUCUGGUGAAGUGUUCAGAUUGCGCCGACAUGGGUGGUUCGUCGUUGGCGACAUCAAGAGAAGUCCACUAAACCUUAUCGUUUGGAGGAAGGAGAAGUCAUAACACGGUUUUCUUUGGUGAAUCUGCAAAAA